GGUCUUGUAGCUCAGUGGUAGAGCAUGCGAUUGCAGAUCGCAGGGUCCCGUGUUCGAACCACGGUAGGGCCU
rnacentral:tRNA from 1 species